rnacentral:lncRNA from 1 species
UGACCUUCUGUGGUGGCAUGCCACUAUGGAAGUGGCAAUAACUUCUGCUAUGGAAUGUAAUUGGAAAAUGAAGUUCUAACUGAAGGAUAGAAAUUGUAAAUAAUUGCAAUAUUUUGUAAAGUAAAUAAAAGUGGAAGACAUUUUUGCCCUGGACAAGCUGCGAGAAGGCGUGUCCAUGGAUGCAGUACUGGAUAAUGUGCGGUCCAACGUGGAUGAGGCAUUGCACCGCAUUAACCUGUUAAGCAAGCAGGGUCUCCGCAACAUAAUGAGUGAUGCCAUAGUCUCAAAGACCGAGCGGCUGCAUGAUAAUGACUAUCUGAGCGUGCAACUCUGGGUUGAGAGGAUGCAUAGUGAAAAGGAGAACCCAUUGCUCUUCUUUAAACACCAAAAACAACCUGACAAAAAGUGACGUUUUUUUAGAGAAAAAAUUAGGACGUUUUGGAUGACAGAUUUUAUGCUAGUCAUCAUGACCACACCACAACAGGAGCUUUUCAAGAGGCUUGGAACUGAUCGUGUAUGUGUCGAUGGAACACAUGAAACAGCAGGUGAGCAGUACUAUAUAAAUGUACUAAUAGUAAAAGCAAAAAAGAGGGAAUGCUGUCUGAGAAUAAUUGCAAUAGAUAUGAUGAGUAGUAUUCCUUCACACAUGAUUUUUCUCUUAAUUUUUCUCACAUUUUUUAAUUGAUGCAGUUCUCGAUUAUCAGUAACAGAGCAAGAAUGAAUUCAGCGCUCUGUACACUGGUGAUAUCAUUCCAUUGCUACUGUCCUCAUCGCUACAUGCCCUGCAUAUCCUGUCUGUAUUGGCACCACGCAGUUAUGAUAGGUCACAUAAUACAGCUCUUAUCACAUUUGUCUUGUGGGGAUGCGCGACUGUCGCACGUCCCCUGAUAUGUUGUUUUUUCUGUAUAGCUUCCGUCUCCUGCAUUGCGACUUCGCCGCGGGCCCCAGGCCAUGCGAGAGAUGGCGCGAGUAUUGCGCUGCCAACGCUGCCUCACGGCAGGGUUACUUGGGGGCGCAAGGGAGAACACGCUUCCUGUUUGGUUCGGGACGGCAAGCAGCGCGGACGUGCCACGCGUGCGCCGAUCCAUGCUUCUGCGAGACCGUCUCGUGAGGCCUUGUGCGAAAGAGCCACCGUUCGCGUGACCGUACACGCGAACAACCAGGCGUUGGGAUCCAGCAAGGGGCGAACAUAUUCGCUCGCUAUCCGGUCGCGGUGAGUCGGACUUCCGCGAUUUGUCGCACGCCCAUUGGCAUGUUUUGUGGAUAGCAACUUGGCUAGCAGGCAUUGAUCUAUGAAAGGUGCAAUAAAUGCCCUUGUGAUUGUUUG